rnacentral:rRNA from 1 species
GGGCCCGCACAAGCGGUGGAGCAUGUGGUUUAAUUCGAUGCAACGCGAAGAACCUUACCAGGGCUUGACAUACUACGAAUUUUCUUGAAAGAGAAAAGUGCCUUCGGGAAUGUAGAUACAGGUGGUGCAUGGCUGUCGUCAGCUCGUGUCGUGAGAUGUUGGGUUAAGUCCCGCAACGAGCGCAACCCUUAUUUUUAGUUACCAAUUCGUUGGGUUCUCUAGAAAGACUGCCGGUGACAAACCGGAGGAAGGUGAGGAUGACGUCAAGUCAGCAUGCCCCUUAUGUCCUGGGCUACACACGUGCUACAAUGGUUAAGACAAAGAGUUGCGAGCUUGUAAAAACAAGCUAAUCUCAUAAACCUAGCCUAAGUUCAGAUUGUAGGCUGCAACUCGCCUACAUGAAGUUGGAAUC